rnacentral:rRNA from 1 species
CUUUACUGUAGCUUUACAUUGGACUUUGACAAGACUUGUGUAGGAUAGGUGGGAGACUAUGAAGCGGCGUCGCUAGAUGUCGUGGAGUCAACCUUGAAAUACCACCCUGAUGUUGUUGAGGUUCUAACCUAGGUCCAUUAUCUGGACUGGGGACCGUGUAUGGUGGGCAGUUUGACUGGGGCGGUCUCCUCCCAAAGAGUAACGGAGGAAUGCAAAGGUAACCUAGGUACGGUCGGAAAUCGUACUGAUAGUGCAAUGGCAUAGGUUGCUUGACUGCGAAACGAACAGGUCGAGCAGGUGCGAAAGCAGGUCAUAGUGAUCCGGUGGUUCUGUAUGGAAGGGCCAUCGCUCAACGGAUAAAAGGUA